rnacentral:rRNA from 1 species
UACGUAGGUGGCAAGCGUUGUCCGGAUUUACUGGGCGUAAAGAGCGCGCAGGCGGUCGUGCAAGUCGCGUGUGAAAGCCCCCGGCUCAACUGGGGAGGGUCACGCGAUACUGCUCGACUCGAAGGCAGGAGAGGGAAGUGGAAUUCCCGGUGUAGUGGUGAAAUGCGCAGAUAUCAGGAGGAACACCGGUGGCGAAGGCGGCGACCUGGUCCUAUACUGACACUCAUACACGAAAAGCGUGGGUAGCAAACAGG